GACGAACGCUGGCGGCGUGCUUAACACAUGCAAGUCGAACGGAAAGGCCCUGCUUUUGUGGGGUGCUCGAGUGGCGAACGGGUGAGUAACACGUGAGUAACCUGCCCUUGACUUUGGGAUAACUUCAGGUAACUGGGGCUAAUACCGGAUAGGAGCUCCUGCUGCAUGGUGGGGGUUGGAAAGUUUCGGCGGUUGGGGAUGGACUCGCGGCUUAUUAGCUUGUUGGUGGGGUAGUGGCUUACCAAGGCUUUGACGGGUAGCCGGCCUGAGAGGGUGACCGGCCACAUUGGGACUGAGAUACGGCCCAGACUCCUACGGGAGGCAGCAGUGGGGAAUAUUGCACAAUGGGCGGAAGCCUGAUGCAGCAACGCCGCGUGCGGGAUGACGGCCUUCGGGUUGUAAACCGCUUUCGCCUGUGACGAAGCGUGAGUGACGGUAAUGGGUAAAGAAGCACCGGCUAACUACGUG
rnacentral:rRNA from 1 species